rnacentral:lncRNA from 10 species
AGGGUGCUGGGAGAGGCCUGACCCAGCACCCCCUCCUUUUAGGGGAGGCAGAGCGGCAGCAGCUGAGCAAGGUGGCCCAGCAGCUGGAGCAGGAGCUGCAGCAGACCCAGGAGUCCCUGGCUAGCUUGGGGCUGCAGCUGGAGGUAGCACGCCAGGGCCAGCAGGAGAGCACAGAGGAGGCUGCCAGUCUGCGGCAGGAGCUGACCCAGCAGCAGGAACUCUACGGGCAAGCCCUGCAAGAAAAGGUGGCUGAAGUGGAAACUCGGCUGCGGGAGCAACUCUCAGACACAGAGAGGAGGCUGAACGAGGCUCGGAGGGAGCAUGCCAAGGCCGGUGAGCCUUGCCAGGGUGGAUAGGGCCUUCCAGGAAGAAGGAAGUGUUAAGACAUAAGUGGUCUCCUUACGCCAGAUUCAGCGCAGAGCCGCCCAGGAAAAGGAGCGGAGCCAGGAACUCAGGCGUCUGCAGGAGGAGGCCCGGAAGGAGGAGGGGCAGCGACUGGCCCGGCGCUUGCAGGAGCUAGAGAGGGAUAAGAACCUCAUGCUGGCCACCUUGCAGCAGGAAGGUCUCCUCUCCCGUUACAAG